AUGAACGCUAGCUACAGGCUUAACACAUGCAAGUCGAGGGGCAGCAUUAUCGAAGCUUGCUUUGAUAGAUGGCGACCGGCGCACGGGUGAGUAACGCGUAUCCAACCUUCCCCAUAGUCAGGAAUAGCCCGGCGAAAGUCGAAUUAAUGCCUGAUGUUUUCCACGGACGGCAUCUGAUGUGGAACAAAGAUUCAUCGCUAUGGGAUGGGGAUGCGUCUGAUUAGCUUGUUGGCGGGGGUAACGGCCCACCAAGGCAACGAUCAGUAGGGGUUCUGAGAGGAAGGUCCCCCACAUUGGAACUGAGACACGGUCCAAACUCCUACGGGAGGCAGCAGUGAGGAAUAUUGGUCAAUGGGCGGAAGCCUGAACCAGCCAAGUAGCGUGAGGGAUGACUGCCCUAUGGGUUGUAAACCUCUUUUAUAAGGGAAUAAAAUACGGGACGUGUCCUGUUUUGCAUGUACCUUAUGAAUAAGGACCGGCUAAUUCCGUG
rnacentral:rRNA from 1 species